rnacentral:rRNA from 1 species
AGGGAGCAUGAGAAACGGCUACCACAUCUAAGGAAGGCAGCAGGCGCGUAAAUUACCCAAUCCUGACUCAGGGAGGUAGUGACAAGAAAUAGCAAACCGGGAACCUCAUGGUUUCACGGUAUUGCAAUGAGAACAAUUUAAAACCCUUAGCGAGAAUCAAGUGGAGGACAAGUCUGGUGCCAGCACCCGCGGUAAUUCCAGCUCCACUAGCGUAUAUUAAAGUUGUUGCAGUUAAAAAGCUCGUAGUUGAACCUCUGUCUGGGGCUAGUUUUGGCUUUGGUCAGGCUAGUUCUAGGCAUCCGCCUACAAGACUUAGAGGGCAUUCAGUUGUUCACUAGGAGGAGUAGGCAUUUUACUUUGAAAAAAUUAGAGUGUUUAAGGCAGGCAAUCGCCCGCAUAUAUUAGCAUGGAAUAAUAGAAUAGGACACUUUUCCAUUUCGUUGGUUAUUGGAAUCGUGUAAUGAUUAAUAGGGACAGUUGUGGGCAUUUGUAUUUAAUUGUCAGAGGUGAAAUUCUUGGAUUUAUUAAAGACAAACUAACGCGAAAGCAUUUGCCAAGGAUGUUUUCAUUAAUCAAGAACGAAAGUUAGGGGAUCAAAGACGAUCAGAUACCGUCCUAGUCUUAACUAUAAACCAUUCCGACUCAAUGUUUGACUGGCUUAUAUAACCAGUUGAGCGUUGUAUGAGAAAUCAAAGUCUUUAGGUUCUGGGGGGAGUAUGGUUGCAAAGCUGAAACUUAAAGGAAUUGACGGAAGAGCACAACCAGGAGUGGAUUCUGCGGCUUAAUUUGACUCAACACGGGGAAACUUACCAGGUUAAAACAAUAGUGGGAUUGACAGUUUGAGAGCGCUUUCUUGAUUGGUUGGGUGGUGGUGCAUGGCCGUUCUUAGUUGGUGGAGUGAUUUGUCUGCUUAAUUGCGUUAACGAACGAGACCUUAACCUGCUUACUAGACUGGCGAUCAUCAAUCGUUAGCUCUUCUUAGAGGGACUUUGGUUGUUUUAACUCCAAGGAAGUUUGAGGCAAUAACAGGUCUGUGAUGCCCUUAGAUAUCCUGGGCCGCACGCGUCAUACAAUGACUAGUUCAGAAAGUUUUCUCCUGACCCGAAAGGGGAUGGGUAAUCUUGAUAAUACUAGUCGUGUUAGGGAUCGAUCUUUGCAAUUAUAGAUCUUGAACGAGGAAUUCCUAGUAAGUGCGGUUCAUCAGACCGUACUGAUUACGUCCCUGCUCUUUGUACACACCGCCCGUCGCUUCUACCGAGUGGGUGGUCCGGUGAGAUAAUUGAACUUCGCAGGUAACUGAGAGGAAAGAUUAUCAAACCUAUCCACCUCGAGGAAGAAGAAGUCGUAACAAGGUU